AACGAACGCUGGCGGCAGGCCUAACACAUGCAAGUCGAGCGCCCUUUCGGGGGAGCGGCGGACGGGUGAGUAACGUGUGGGAAUAUGCCCUUCUCUACGGAAUAGCCUCGGGAAACUGAGAGUAAUACCGUAUACGCCCUAUGGGGGAAAGAUUUAUCGGGGAAGGAUUAGCCCGCGUUGGAUUAGGUAGUUGGUGGGGUAAUGGCCUACCAAGCCGACGAUCCAUAGCUGGUUUGAGAGGAUGAUCAGCCACACUGGGACUGAGACACGGCCCAGACUCCUACGGGAGGCAGCAGUGGGGAAUCUUAGACAAUGGGGGCAACCCUGAUCUAGCCAUGCCGCGUGAGUGAUGAAGGCCUUAGGGUUGUAAAGCUCUUUCAGCUGGGAAGAUAAUGACGGUACCAGCAGAAGAAGCCCCGGCUAACUCCGUG
rnacentral:rRNA from 1 species